AUUGAACGCUGGCGGAAUGCUUAACACAUGCAAGUCGAGCGAGCUGUAGCAAUACAGCUAGCGGCGGACGGGUGAGGAAUACAUAGGAAUCUGCCUCAGAGCGGGGGAUAGCCCGGGGAAACUCGGAGUAAUACCGCAUGAUGUCGCAAGACCAAAGUGGGGGACCGCAAGGCCCCACACUCUGAGAUGAGCCUAUGUCUGAUUAGCUAGUUGGCGGGGUAAUGGCCCACCAAGGCGACGAUCAGUAGCUGGUCUGAGAGGACGAUCAGCCACACCGGAACUGAGACACGGUCCGGACUCCUACGGGAGGCAGCAGUGGGGAAUAUUGGACAAUGGGCGCAAGCCUGAUCCAGCAAUUCCGCGUGGGUGAAGAAGGCCUUCGGGUUGUAAAGCCCUUUAAGUUGGGACAAAAAAAUCGGCGAUAACAUCGCCGGUCUUGAUGGUACCGACAGAAUAAGCAACGGCUAACUCUGUGCCAGCAGCCGCGGUAA
rnacentral:rRNA from 1 species